CGCGUAGGCGGCCUGGUAAGGUUGCGGUGAAAGCCCGGGGCUCAACCCCGGGUCGGCCGUGGCAACUGCUGGGCUGGAGCACUGUAGAGGCAGGUGGAAUUCCGGGUGUAGCGGUGGAAUGCGUAGAGAUCCGGAAGAACACCGGUGGCGAAGGCGGCCUGCUGGGCAGUGGCUGACGCUGAUGCGCGACAGCGUGGGGAGCAAACA
rnacentral:rRNA from 1 species